rnacentral:rRNA from 1 species
AGUGAACGCUGGCGGUAUGCCUAACACAUGCAAGUCGAACGGCAGCACAGUAAGAUCUUGCUCUUACGGUUGGCGAGUGGCGGACGGGUGAGGAAUACAUCGGAAUCUACUUUUUCUUGGGUGAUAACGUAGGGAAACUUAUGCUAAUACCGCAUACUACCUACGGGUUAAAUCAGGGGAUCUUCGCACCUUUCGCGAUUGAUUUAGCCGGUUUCGGAUUAGCUAGUUGGUAAGGUAACGGCCCACCAAGGCAACGAUCCGUAGCUUACCUGAGAGGAUGAGCGGCCAAACUGGAACUGAGACACGGUACAGACUCCUACGGGAGGCAGCAGUAGGGAAUCUUCCGCAAUGGGCGAAAGCCUGACGGAGCAACGCAGCGUGAGUGAUGAAGGUCUUCGGAUCGUAAAACUCUGUGAUGAGGGAAGAAAAGAUGUGUAAGUAACUGUGCACAUCUUGACGGUACCGAAUCAGAAAGCCACGGCUAACGACGGG